GAAUUGUCCAAAAAUAAAAUUUUUUCUCUUCACGGGGUGGAUUGGGAUGUCCUGCCCCGUGCCUAAGACAAUGUGACAAGUUACAUUCAUCCCCACCCCGCCAACCCAUCGGAGUGAAUUUUUUUGUCAUCGCUAAUCCACAACCACCAAAUAACUUGACUCACCACUGCCUCUAUGUUACAGACGGGUGAAACGAGAUCGAAAGUAUAGAAUACUAGAUCUACAGUUUCUCAAUUCGUCGAUCCCUGAAAAUGACAUCUUCUGCACCCCAACUCUCCGCUAUGACCUCAAUCUCAUUGAAAUACUACUCGCCAUCACUACCACUUUACCACUUGCGCUCAUUGGAAUCUCACACGUUGAAAACAGCAUUGGAAUUACAUACAACCACAAGCACCCAACCAAACACCAACCAACAACCAUAAACACAACCAUCCGUGACUAGAGAAAAAAUGGAGGAAAGGACCCGAUCUGUAGCGCCCCUUGAUCCGCAACGCCAAUGGCGAAGCAGUGAUCGACAACUCGCUACGUACAGUGCCACACGCAACGAUUUCACGUAGCGGCAUCGCUUGAUAUACAACCAAUCUGUGUCGCGCUACUGUUUGGGUUUAUCGACAUCUUCAGUUGCAUAGGUAGUCGUUUGACCGUUAUUGCUAGCGAUAGGUGAGAGAGAGAGAGAGAGAGAGAGAGGGAAAAAAAAUUGGAGAGAUAAUUAG
rnacentral:lncRNA from 1 species